GACGAACGCUGGCGGCGUGCCUAAUACAUGCAAGUCGAACGCUUCUUUCCUCCCGAGUGCUUGCACUCAAUUGGAAAGAGGAGUGGCGGACGGGUGAGUAACACGUGGGUAACCUACCCAUCAGAGGGGGAUAACACUUGGAAACAGGUGCUAAUACCGCAUAACAGUUUAUGCCGCAUGGCAUAAGAGUGAAAGGCGCUUUCGGGUGUCGCUGAUGGAUGGACCCGCGGUGCAUUAGCUAGUUGGUGAGGUAACGGCUCACCAAGGCCACGAUGCAUAGCCGACCUGAGAGGGUGAUCGGCCACACUGGGACUGAGACACGGCCCAGACUCCUACGGGAGGCAGCAGUAGGGAAUCUUCGGCAAUGGACGAAAGUCUGACCGAGCAACGCCGCGUGAGUGAAGAAGGUUUUCGGAUCGUAAAACUCUGUUGUUAGAGAAGAACAAGGACGUUAGUACUGAACGUCCCCUGACGGUAUCUAACCAGAAAGCCACGGCUAACUACGUG
rnacentral:rRNA from 1 species